GGCUGUAAGAGGAAACUGGUUGUGACAUCUGUCAACACAUCGAUUUCCAGGGUUGAUGCAGAUGGUCUGAGGUGAUCUCUGCUCUCUCUCACUGUCCCAUCUGUGCCCCUUCCAAAGCUCCCGCUUGUUCAAAUGAAUGACCUUCUCAAGGAGGACCAGGCAGUGUAUUUUAAAAGCUUUUCCCCUCGCUGUAAUAUCUGUGUCUGUCCAGAAUUUAUUCAAAAAUACAUAAAUCUAUAGAAUGAAUACACAAACUAUUUCCUAGGAGCAGUAUA
rnacentral:snRNA from 1 species